GCAGGGGUGGCCGAGCCUGGUCAAAGGCGCAGGACUUAAGGAAACUCUUUUUCCCGAAAAAGACUUUCAUGAGAAAAAGGGUUUUAGUAAGGGAAAUCCUGUCUCUUAGGAGUUCGAGGGUUCAAAUCCCUCCCCCUGCA
rnacentral:tRNA from 1 species